CCCAGUGGCCUGUGCUCCCGUGGGCUCCAUAGCUGUGUCCUGCGCUCCAGUGCUGUCUGCCUCCGUGGCCUGCCAGCAAUUGUCCUCCGCUCCCGUGGCCUCCUGGGUGGUGUCCUCGACUCCUAUGGCUUCUAUCGCUGUGGUCUGUACUCCUGUGACCUUCACUCCUAUGACUUCCGCCACUGUGGCCUGCACUCCAGUGGUCUUCACUGCCGUGGCCUCUACUCCUGUGGCCUGAAUUCCUGUAUCCCGCACUCUGGUGGCCUCCGUGUUUCCAAUCACUGUUCCUGUGAGCCCUGCCUGUGCCCGCACAUCCUCCCCAUCAGCUUUCAUUCCUGGGUUCUCUUUUCCUCCUGUAUCUUCAGCAGCCAAUGGCUCACUUUCCGCGUUGUCGCCUGCAGCUUUCACAUUUAGGGCCUCAGCCAUAGUAGCACUAGUGUCCAUUGCCUCGGCUGCCACUCCAACUUUCCCCGUGGCCUCUGAACCUGCAGCCUCGGGUUCUAUGGGUGUUGCCUCUGAAGCCCCUGCUUCAGUGCUCCAGAUGCCCUCGGAGCCUCCCGCUUGGCGUUCCAUUCCAUUUGCUGUGGUUUCUGUAUACGUGGUGCCAUUGAGGUCUGGGACGCUGGGUCCAUUCUGGAUAGUGUUUCCCUUGCCCUUGAUUUCCUGGCGUGCUGACUCUUCUCCUCCAUGAGCCCUAGGUGGCUCCCCCUCCUCCUGCUGCCGCUGCUGCGCAUGAAUGGCCUCUGUGUGCUGCCUCCGAAGCUGCUCAAGCUCUGCCCGUAAGGAUUCAUACAAGACCAAAGGGACAACCUCGGGCUGACUUUCUUCCGCCAUCUGCACCUCAUCCUUUUCAAACUCUUCAAGGAUCUAGGGGUGGGGAGGCAGGCAGGCUAAGAGGCAGGCUCACCAUGUUCCCUGCCCACCCCGAGGUCUGCAGACAUGUCCACUGCCUCAGUUUCCCCACCUGGACCUUUUCCAGAAGCUCCUGGUUCUGCCUGGUCAGCUGAGCCACCUGCUCCUGUAGGGAAGCAACUAACUCCUCUGCUGAUGGACUCUGGUUCUUUAACAUCAGUGCAUCGGCUCCUGACAGGGUUGAGAACAGCACUGAGUCAGGCUGGGGACAGUCAGGAGCUGCUCAGUGGGGAGCUGCAUUGCCUCAGGCAGGAAUCCAGCACAAAGCAGACCUUCAGAUCCUGUCCCUUACUGACAAGAGACUUUAAGUCCUCCCAAACUGACAGUGUCCAUAUAUCCACACAACAGUGGGGCUGGGGGGUGAUUCCCAGCUGGCUGUGUCUGUAUUCGAUGAGCACCCAAAUGGCCCUUCCACCUUCUAAUGAGAUGCAGGUGUGGGCCAGGGCCUUUGCACAUGCUAGGCAAACACUCACCACUGAGCGACGUUCUGGCCAUAGAAUCAAGGCUCUGGGUUUGAAUCCCAGCACAUCCCCAAGUCCAUGCUCAUCUCUGUGUAUAUCUGUGUAAUUAUGUGCUUGUAGGGAUAUUUGAUCACAUUUGUUUUGUGUGUACCUGCAGGGGGUACACACAUGCCACAGUACAAGGUGGCAGUCAAAAGACAACUUGAGAAUCCUCCAUCAUGUGGGUAGUGAACUCAGGUCAGUAGGGUUGGCGGAAACCUCUUUAUUGACUGGUCUAUACUGCCAACUCUAAUUGCACACUUUGAGCAGUGUGGGGGUGUUUGCAUGAGGGCUGUGGCCUGUGUGUAACUGGUCUAUUUCUAUGUUUGGGGCAUGUGUGAUAUGUGUGUCAGAAAGGCUGCAGUCUUUGCGUGUGUGCCUGUGUUUGCAGAAGUCUUGAUGAGUGUGUGAUUUUAUGGAAGUUAUGUGUGGCCAGGACAUUAUGGAUGCACCAUGGUGCGCAGGUGAAGUUCUGGUGAGUUGGCCACAUUCUACCACAUUCCUCACCUAUGCUGUGACCCACCCCUUGCACCUCCCAACACUGGCAGGACACACUUUGAGGAAAGCCCCUGCCUUCCCCUACACCUCUACAUCCAUUCCAAGCUCCAGCCCACCCAGCCUCUUUCCCU